rnacentral:lncRNA from 1 species
GUGUAGGCAGUGGGAAGGAGAGGGAGACACCUGGGCCUUGAAGGUCAUGGUGGGAGGAGCUGCGUAACCGGCCAUCAGAGUCAGAACCUUCAUUUUAACACCAUCCCAGGGAAGCUGUGCCCCGGGUGGGUCCUGCUGGGUCAUACCAGAUUUCAGGCAGGGAGAUCUGGGUUUGCAGGACUGAACAAGCCACAUAAUCUCUCAGGGCCUCUCAGGUCUUUGCCUACUUGGAGAUUUGUUAUGAGGACUGUUACCAGGAAAAGGAAUUUAGCACAUAGUAGAAGGUG